rnacentral:precursor_RNA from 17 species
CGAUGUGCCAAUUGCUGUGUGCAUUCAGGCUGAGGUAGUAGGUUGUAUAGUUUAGAAUUAUACCAAGGGAGAUAACUGUACAACCUCCUAGCUUUCCCUGGGGCAUGCGUACAACAGCAGCGGGGAA